rnacentral:rRNA from 1 species
AACGAACGCUGGCGGCAGGCCUAACACAUGCAAGUCGAACGCUCCGCAAGGGGAGUGGCAGACGGGUGAGUAACACGUGGGAAUCUUCCUAUUGGUACGGAAUAGCUCAGGGAAACUUGGGGUAAUACCGUAUAAGCCCGAGAGGGGAAAGAUUUAUCGCCAGUAGAUGAGCCCGCGUCUGAUUAGCUAGUUGGUGAGGUAAUGGCUCACCAAGGCGACGAUCAGUAGCUGGUCUGAGAGGAUGAUCAGCCACACUGGGACUGCGACACGGCCCAGACUCCUACGGGAGGCAGCAGUGGGGAAUAUUGGACAAUGGGCGCAAGCCUGAUCCAGCCAUGCCGCGUGAGUGACGAAGGUCUUCGGAUUGUAAAGCUCUUUUGGCGGGGACGAUAAUGACGGUACCCGCAGAAUAAGCCCCGGCUAACUUCGUGCCAGCCGCCGCCGUAAUAC